rnacentral:misc_RNA from 1 species
GGAAGUAAAAGUCGUAACAAGAUUUCCGUAGGUGAACCUGCGGAAGGAUCAUUAUUGUAUAACCGAGGUGCGAGGGCUGUCGCUGACCCGAAAGGUCGUGCACGCCCGAGAGCCCUCACACACAUCCAUCUCACCCCUAUGUGCACCACCGCGUGGGUCCCCCUUUGGCUUGUUCGGAGGGGGGCUUACGUUUUCACACAAACUUUGUAUGCAGUGUAGAAUGUAUAUUUUGUUUUUGCGAUCACGCAAUCAAUACAACUUUCAACAACGGAUCUCUCGGCUCUC